UGGGGAGAGGUUUUCUCUUCUGUGGAAUUUUUGGUUUUAAAUGGUGGAAAGGGAUCUUCUUUUCCUGUAGGACAGUCAAUGGAUUAAGACUUUAAAGCACAGCUGAAACUUCCACAAUCUUGGAGGAUAUAUAGUACAUGUUUUGAGGUCCAGAGCCUGCAAUGCAGACAAAGCUGAUGGGAGACUUUAUCGUUGAGUCAUCUUUAUUUCUAGAGGGUAAUAUUUCUGAAGAAGGACUGCAAUCAAUUUCUCAUUUGAAGAAGAACAAUGAAAUGGUUUGUAUGAAGUUGCUCGGUGUAGGACUAGUACAUCAUGGAAAUUCAGCUUUGUGGAAAUAUCCAUCAAUACCAGAUGGACUUUUGUGGGAUGUUAAAGAGGACAAAACGUGUUGGUUAUUCUGCCCUCCCCCUACCCGUGAAGAUGAGUCAUGCAAGUGGAUUCCUCCUAUCAACUGAGUUUUUGCAGAUCAGACCAGGAGGGAGGAGAAUUAAAAACCCCUAACAAGAUGACACUGUAUAUCUAUGCUGCUUGGACUCAGGAGGCAAGGUUUACUGUCCAUAAGCAAGAGAUCCUUUGCUUGGGUUAGCCCUAAAGGUCAUAUGGAGCUUGCUUAUUAAAGAAGCUUCUAUUUUUAAAACUUUAGAUUGUAACUCAUUUGUGCAUAUAUAUUUACCAACUUUAACUUUGUAAAUAACUCUCUAAUUUCCUUUUCUGAUUUAAUAAAUCUUUAUAUAGUUUAUCACAGGCUUGGUUACAAGCUUUGUUGUUGGUGUAAAAUCUAACGUGCAAUUGACCUGGGGUAAGUGCCUUGUUCUUUGGAACUGGGAGUAAACUGAAUAUUGCUGUAAUUCUUGGUGUAAGGGACUAUCACAAAGGUAUGCUCAUUUGGGUGACAAGAUAGAUUGGACUUCAUCUUUAGGCUGUUAUAGUACCUGAGGAGUUUACACUUGAUAAUUGGUUGCUGAAAUCUAAGUAUAGAACUCACAACCAAUUUGGGGUUAGUGGUCUACAUCCUAGCAGUCC